GACGAACGCUGGCGGCGUGCUUAACACAUGCAAGUCGAACGGAAAGGCCCUGCUUUUGUGGGGUGCUCGAGUGGCGAACGGGUGAGUAACACGUGAGUAACCUGCCCUUGACUUUGGGAUAACUUCAGGAAACUGGGGCUAAUACCGGAUAGGAGCUCCUGCUGCAUGGUGGGGGUUGGAAAGUUUCGGCGGUUGGGGAUGGACUCGCGGCUUAUCAGCUUGUUGGUGGGGUGGUGGCUUACCAAGGCUUUGACGGGUAGCCGGCCUGAGAGGGUGACCGGCCACAUUGGGACUGAGGUACGGCCCAGACUCCUACGGGAGGCAGCAGUGGGGAAUAUUGCCCAAUGGGCGGAAGCCUGAUGCAGCAACGCCGCGUGCGGGAUGACGGCCUUCGGGUUGUAAACCGCUUUCGCCUGUGACGAAGCGUGAGUGACGGUAAUGGGUAAAGAAGCACCGGCUAACUACGUG
rnacentral:rRNA from 1 species